GGUCCAGCAUUUGACACACCGUCAUAGGCUUUCCUACAAUACAUCAUCAUAGGCUUCCUACAAUACACCGUCAUAGGCUUCCUACAAUACAGGCUCUAACAAAACUAGGCUGUCCCGAACCCCUGGUAAUAAAAUUGUUUGUCUCUGUACCAAGAAGGUUGGGAAAACACCAAAAUUUGCAUUGGCGUGGCCCAGGCAGGCUUCGAGGGGUCCGUGCCAUGAGACUUAAAGACCUAAAGUUCUUAAGAGAUUGUCCAAAACAAAAACCAUGUCAGCAGAGCCUACGGUGGUUCCAUGCGUGCUAAACGUGUUCAGGACAGGAUCAAGCGUGCUUUCCUUCUCGAGGAGGAGAACAUCAUUGUAAAAGUGCUGAAGGCACAAGCACAGAGUCAGAAAGCUAA
rnacentral:lncRNA from 1 species